rnacentral:rRNA from 1 species
GAAUAUUGGACAAUGGGGGGAACCCUGAUCCAGCCAUGCCGCGUGUGUGAAGAAGGCCUUUUGGUUGUAAAGCACUUUAAGCGAGGAGGAGGCUACUCUAGUUAAUACCUAGGGAUAGUGGAGGUUACUCGCAGAAUAAGCACCGGCUAACUCUGGCCCAGCCGCCGCGGUAAUACAGGGGGUGCAAGCGUUAAUCGGAUUUACUGGGCGUAAAGCGCGCGUAGGUGGCCAAUUAAGUCAAAUGUGAAAUCCCCGAGCUUAACUUGGGAAUUGCAUUCGAUACUGGUUGGCUAGAGUAUGGGAGAGGAUGGUAGAAUUCCAGGUGUAGCAGUGAAAUGCGUAGAGAUCUGGAGGAAUACCGAUGGCGAAGGCAGCCAUCUGGCUUAAUACUGACGCUGAGGCGCGAAAGCGUGGGGAGCAAACAG